rnacentral:lncRNA from 1 species
UUAGCAAUCUGUCAUUUAUUUUUUGACUACAACAGAUGAAAUAUCUUUUGACUGAAUCACAUUAGUGGAAUGAUCUCUGUGUGAAAAAGUAACAUAUUUUCUAUGGAGCUGUAAUUCAUCAUUUUAAAAACAAUUUUGUGACAUGUGGAGUGGAGAGGUAGAAUAAAAGCCAAUUUUAUCUUGGAAUAUUUGAAACGAAUUAGUAUAUGCUUUAACUUUUAGAACUUAGAUUCUUUUACUUUUAUACUAAAUCAUAUGAUAAAAUCAAAAUUUCACAAAGAAUCAAAACAUUAAUUAGAACUUGGAAGAGUAUGAUACAGAGGAUUUCAAAUAUCUAAGUAUGAAAGCAUGAAAAAAAAGGGGUGAUUUUGUGUGUGCAUGUAUGGCGUAUGUUCAUAUUUAUGUAUUUCUGUUUACUUGUUUUGUUUUUUCUUUUUCAUUUGUGUAAAGGCUUCUUAGUAAGUUUAUUUCUUAGUUUAUUUGAUUAGUUUAUUUCUUGAAUUGUUUCAAAAUAUUUCCUUUUGUGAAUGUUGUCAAAAGUAAAGUAGGGGAACUGAAACAUUUUUACUUGCUUGUUUUUAAUCAGAAAAUUUCGUAUUGUCUCUCUGAUCCUUCUAAAGUCUGCAAAGCCUCUCUCAAUGGUAGCUGCCUAUCAAUAUAAAUAUUAAAUCUGGAUCCCAUGAUUACCUCCUUCAGGUUAUAAGAAAUGAGGCCAAGUUCGUGUAGUGUUAAUAAAUAGUAGUACUGGGGAGAAAUUUUAAGGUGCUUAUUUAAUGUGCUUUUCCCCCUCUGUGAAUAAGAAGCACAUGUAGAUUCAAGAUAGGGAUUCUCAUUUGCUCUUUUAAAUAUACUUUUUAUAUUGUUGUAUUGAAAUUUCUUAGACCUUGGUGAACAUCGUAAGAGAUAUAUUUAUUCUAUUUUAAAAUAAAAAUUUGCAUGUCCAGUAAACUUUCAUUCCUACAGGAAGACUUUAGCUUCCUUAUAUCUUAAAGCAUGCCUAAUAAUUUCUUGUUAGUUCUCUUAAAUUUGAAGUAUACACAUAAUUUAAAGUGAAAGUUUAAGAAUCAUUAUCCUCCUAACAGCCUUUCAGUAAUUACAUUUGUAAGUGCCCCUCUUUUCUCCUCAAAUAUUACAUUGAUUUAAGUACUUUUAAGAAAAUUUUUUUUAAGUUUCUAUCCAUUCAAGAAUUUGGUUAUUGAGUGUUUUGAAACCAAUCAGAAGUGACUGUGCCUCUCUGUGAACCUUCACAUCAACUUUGGCAGGAUAGGGAGAUACCUGGGCUUCUGCACACUUUUGGCAUGACCCUCUGUCUUGCUUCCUCUUCCUACCUCUCACAGCUUCACUAGAAUGACCCACUAUGAGAUCAUCAGAACUAAAGCCAUUGUGUCAAUUAAGUCAUUUACUCUGGGCUACUUCAGUCAUCUCAAGAAGUCCAAGACUCCCAGGUUACUUUCUUAGAAUUCCAUCUCCUGAUGGCUCUGUGUAAAAGGAGGCAUCUCCCACCCCCCACCAACCACUCCCGUCCUCUUUCUCUGUAUUAUUCUCUGUAACAUGUGUCACCUUCUGAAAUUCUAUGAUUAUCUUCUUACCUUGCCCUUCACUGGAAUGUGAAAUCCAAUAGUACAGUCUAUCUUGUUCGGCACCGUUUUGUUCCUGUUCUCUCACCAAAGCAUAGUAGAGUUCUAUACAUACUUACUAUAAGUGUUAAAUAAAUAAUUUUUUAGAUGAAGGCAAAAAGGAAUGUAUUAUGAAAUAUAGAGAGGAAGUAUUAUGCUUCUUUGACACCAAUUUGAAAUUAGAUAUUCUUUCUUUUAACCUAUUUUAAAUUCAAAGACAAUUUUCAUCUUGUUUUCCAUGAUGAGAUAUUUAACACUAUUGAACCUCGAUUAUGAGACUGCUUUCUGAGGAUCAAUUCUUUGUAAUUUUAUAAUUUACCAUUUGGAAUUUUCUUUAAACAGCUCUAACAACUGUGAAAAGACCCAUGGUGGAAUCUGCAUUGCCUAAAGCCUUAUAAAUAUCCCCAAUUGGUUUACAGGUGAGAGAAUGUUAAGUGGAAAAUGAAGGGAAAUUUGUCAGAUAUGCAUACAUGGAUUACCACCCUCUUAUAUUCAUGUAACAAUUGGACCUGGUAUUGAAUUAUAUUUUUAAAACAAUAAAGGAUUUCUCAAUUUUAAAAACAAGGAAAAUAGAUCAGAGAGCUUUAAUAAUAGCUGUUAAGUGCUUAGGCAGAUGGUAAGAGAUCUAGGGCUAGGAUCUGUAUUCUUGACAUGUAGUUCUGUCUGUGGGCACAACUGUGAGCCUCUUUAUCCCUUAAAAAGACUCACGGAUUAAAUCCUCUCCCUUGAGCUCUUCUUGAUACAUGUCUCAAAAUAAAGUCUUCUUGGGGCACAGUUAACAGUUCAAGCAGGAAUUGCUUAGUUACAGGUUUACAGUUCAAACUCCUCAACCAGCUUUGAUGGGCAAUAAUCUUCCAUAGAUCCCUGCCAGAGCCUUCUGUUUCCAACACCGUCCAGGAUCCUGACGAGUCCUUGACUCUGGCUUUUCAUUAUGUGGUUCAGUUCUUUCCUCGAGUCUAGCCUAAACUUAUUGUCAGCCCUGUAUUCAGUGAACAGCUUUGCUGAGAAGCCUGCUUUCCUACUUUUCUUAUUCCUCACCCUGCUUUUGAACCCACCAACUUUCUAGAAGUUCUCAGUUUUGAGACACUCUAGUACAUGGAAAUUCAAGGGAUUUCGUGUUGUAAAAUUAGAAAUACAAGUCUCUUCUUUUGGCUUAGCCUUCUCAAAACCUCACAUUUACAUCUCAUCACACCAUCCCAGCUCCACUGUGGGAUUUCAACAGCCAUGUCUGAUUUGAGAGAGAGGCCCUGGAGAGUCUUCCUGAGGCAGUACAUAGGGAGGCCUAGAGUACAACCUUUCACUUUAGUGUCACCUCUGCUCAAGCACCUGUUUCAGAAGCAAGGCCCUUCUCAUUUACUAACUGGGUUCAUAUUAAUCUGUAGUUGCUUAUUUUAUUUUUUUCUUCUCUGUUUUUGUUUUUUUGGGCCACUUUUUGAGGAAGGAUGAGAGCAAUUACAGGAUACAAACAUUAAUAUUACUGCUAAGAGGAGUUCCCAUCGGGUGCAGUGGAAAUGAAUCCGACUAGGAACCAUGAGGUUGCAGGUUUGAUCCUUGCCCUUGCUCAGUGGGUUAAAGAUCUGGCGUUGCCAUGAGCUGUGGUGUAGGUCACAGACAUGGCUCAGAUCUGGCAUUGCUGUGGCUCUGGCGUAGGCUGGCAGCUGCAGCUCCGAUUAGACCCCUAGCCUGGGAACUUGCGUUUGCCGCCAGUGGGGCCCUUAAAGAAAAGACAAAAAGGAAAAAAAAAUAUUAGUGCUAAGACUGCAGGAUUCUUUUUAGUGCAAUAGUAAAGUACAGGCUAGGCCAAAAAUGAGAAUCAAUCUAUGAACAAAAACUUGACGUCCACAGUGGGAGGUUUGGGAGUACAUAUUCUGUAUCCCCUCAUUUAGAAACGAAAGGUCUAAAUAAAGGGCAACUGGUAAUGUUCACCAGGGUUCAAAAAUAAGUCGUGUUGGCGUUGUGUGCAUAGCUACAAUGUGCAACAUUCCCAUUACAAGUUGCCAUGGUCACCACAGAGUGCCCAGAAUUUCCCAUACAUGGUGUCAUUCAGAGUUUAAUAUAAUGACUCAGAAUAGCCUACAGCCACCUUUAAAUAACAUGACAUUUUCAUUUUCUGUGUAAAACCAAUAAUUCUUUCAUUAUAAAGUAACUCUACAAGUUUUAGGAAUUGAUGUUCUUAGAGAAAAUAAGUAUCUAUCAUGAUGAUAAACAAGGUACCUAUGCCUAAUUAUAUUCUGCUUCCAACUGGUAGAACAAAACCCCAACAUUCCUACUGAAAUGACUUUUAACCAUUGUCCUGCCUCUGAAGCAUUUUUUUUUUAAUAUGUACUUCCCCAGUUUCAAACAUCCGUGAAGUUAAUCUAACAGUUAUCUGCCUUAUUUUACUAAUAGAGAAACUAGGGUUUGGUAUGUUCAUUUUCUCUGUCAACUUUACUGAGACACAGUAAGGUUGAUACUGUGUCCCAGUAAAUACCUGGAUAAACAUUAUUUCUGGAUGUAUUUGUGAGGGUGUUUUUGGAAGAGAUUAGUAUCCGAAUAGGUGAAUUUCACAGAACAGAUGGUCUUUCCCAAUGGGUAUCAUCCAAUCAUUGAGGGCCUGAACAGAACAGAGAGUGGAAGACUGGAAUCUUCUCUCUGCCUGACCAGCUGAACCACGAUACUGAUUUUUCUCCUAUACUCUAUGCCCCUGCUUCUCAGGCCUUCAGACUUGGACUGGAAUCAUCAGCUCUCAGGCUACACUUCAGGCUACCCUACCAGCUUUCCUGAGUCUCCAGCUUGCAGAAGGCAGAUUUUGGGGCUUCUUAGCCUCCAUAACUGUAUGAACCAACAUUUUAUAAUAAAAUCUCUUUCUAGAUUGAUCUGUCCAUGUCAGAAGACAAUCUUUAAAGCUUAAACUGAAGAACUCAAGAUAGGAAUUUAAUGUAGCGGAUAGUUUAAUGCCUGUGUGAUAUGUGUCGAUUUGACUAAAAUAAAGAUUCCUUCCUCAAAAUAUCAAUACACAUAGAUCGUGUUCUCAGGUUUUUAUUUCUAUAUAUUCAGUGCAUGAAGCUACAGUACUAUGUUAUAUGCAACAAGAAACUUUUAAAGUAAUCCCUUUGCCAAGCAUCUAUUAUCAGUAACCUCACAGAUGUUCUAUGGCUUACUUAAGUUAGAGAAUGAGGUAGAUCAAGACUUGGGUCUUGCUCCUCUCACUUAAUUAGUUAUGUGGCCUGUAGGCUAUUUAUUUAUUUUCUUUUUUUGCUUUUUAGGGCACGACAUAUGGAGGUGCCCAGGCUAGGGGUCCAAUUGGAGCUACAGUUGCCGGCCUACACCACAGCCGCAGCAACCAUUUAUUUAUUUUCCUUUAUUAACCUUACUUUCCUUUCUCAAGAAAUGAGACUAAAUAUUCUGAUAUUUAGGUUACUCUUAAGGAUAUUGAAUAUACUUCAUUUAUAAUUCUUAAAAAUUAAUAGGUUAUUCUAGAAGUAUUACUAAAUUAAAUUUUUAUUUACUUGGCUUAUCAGUCUUGUUUAUUGCUAAUACACAGUUUAAGAGAUUUAUAACUUUUUUCUGUAUUUCAUCCCAUAUAUUCCACAUUUUUCAAUGACAAUAAAUAGCAGUAUUAGAGGCUGAAUGACAAAGCCAGUUUUAUUUGAUAAUUAACAGCUAUACCUCAAAUCAACAAAUCAUCUUAAAGUGGUUGAACUUAAAGAAGUUGUUAUUACCAAACUGCUAUAAUGAAAAGAGCCUGAAAUGUCCUCUUGUAUUCAUUUAUACCUUCUUAUAUAAGGGCAGCUCAUGACAAACUUGACGUGUAACUGAUAGUUACCUAAAUGAAGUGCAAUAAAUCAAGCCCUCACUUUGUGCCUACAGGCAUUAGGAUGAAUGCUCUACAUAAUUUAUCUCAUUUAAUUCUCAAGAAAAACCUUGUGACAUAGCAAGUUAAAUCUUGACAUAUUUAUCUUCAUGCUUUCCUUAUUGCCAGAAUUUCUAAACAUUGUCUUAAGAGGAAUGCAAUUAAAAAGAAACUAUUGUUGGUUAUAUUUUC